rnacentral:rRNA from 1 species
CAGUCGCCGCGGUAAAACCAGCACCUCGAGUGGUCAGGAGGUUUAUUGGGCCUAAAGCAUCCGUAGCCGGUUGCAUAAGUUUUCGGUUAAAUCUAUGCGCUUAACGUAUAGGCCGCCGAAAAUACUGUGCAGCUAGGGAGUGGGAGAGGUACACGGUACUCGAUAGGAAGGGGUAAAAUCCUUUGAUCUAUUGAUGACCACCUGUGGCGGAGGCGGUGUACCAGAACACGUUCGACGGUGAGGGAUGAAAGCUGGGGGAGCAAACCGGAUUAGAUACCCCAGUAGUCCCUGUCUCUUAUAC